rnacentral:rRNA from 1 species
CCUACGGGAGGCAGCAGUGGGGAAUAUUGCACAAUGGGGGAAACCCUGAUGCAGCGACGCCGCGUGAGUGAAGAAGUAUUUCGGUAUGUAAAGCUCUAUCAGCAGGGAAGAAAAUGACGGUACCUGAUUAAGAAGCCCCGGCUAACUACGUGCCAGCAGCCGCGGUAAUACGUAGGGGGCAAGCGUUAUCCGGAUUUACUGGGUGUAAAGGGAGCGGAGACGGCAGCACAAGUCUGGAGUGAAAUGCCGGGGCUUAACCCCGGAACUGCUUUGGAAACUGUGCAGCUAGAGUGCAGGAGAGGUUAGUGGAAUGCCGAGUGUAGCGGUGGAAUGCGUAGAUAUUAGGAGGAACACCAGUGGCGAAGGCGGCUUACUGGACUGUAACUGACGUUGAGGCUCGAAAGCGUGGGGAGCAAACAGGAUUAGAUACCCGAGUAGUC